rnacentral:rRNA from 1 species
UACGUAGGGUGCAAGCGUUAAUCGGAAUUACUGGGCGUAAAGCGUGCGCAGGCGGUUAUGUAAGACAGAUGUGAAAUGCCCGGGCUUAACCUGGGAACUGCAUUUGUGACUGCAUGGCUAGAGUGUGUCAGAGGGGGGGUAGAAUUCCACGUGUAGCAGUGAAAUGCGUAGAUAUGUGGAGGAAUACCGAUGGCGAAGGCAGCCCCCUGGGAUAACACUGACGCUCAUGCACGAAAAGCGUGGGGAGCAAACAGG